UACAGAGGGUGCAAGCGUUAAUCGGAAUUACUGGGCGUAAAGCGUGCGUAGACGGUUAUGUAAGUCAGAUGUGAAAGCCCCGGGCUUAACCUGGGAAUGGCAUUUGAGACUGCAUAGCUAGGGUGCGGAAGAGGGAAGCGGAAUUUCCGGUGUAGCGGUGAAAUGCGUAGAUAUCAGAAGGAACAUCAGUGGCGAAAGCGGCUUCCUGGACCAGAACUGACGAUCAGGCACGAAAGCGUGGGGAGCAAACAGG
rnacentral:rRNA from 1 species